GCCAGCAGUUGUGACGGUCUCUUGGGUUUUCAGUCCCACGUGGCAGGGGGAGAACUGUAUGAGCGAGUCUCCCGUGUUCAAAUCGCAGUCGUGGUUCGGUUGUCGAUGUCAGACUGCAUUUCAGUGAGCGCAGAAUGGCUGAAACCAGCAGAGGAGUGGUCUGCGACGGCUGGAUCGUAUUUGGAGUUUGCUAUGGGACUGAACUACUGCCAAUGAAGAUUCAGCUGGCCCCCAAAGGACUAUUGCUGAACAAGCCCACUACCUCUAGCCGGGUUGUGGCCUAGAGGAGAGGUUGAACCCUUAUUAAAAGUAGAUUCAAAAAAAAAAAAAAA
rnacentral:lncRNA from 1 species